UACGUAGGGUGCAAGCGUUAAUCGGAAUUACUGGGCGUAAAGCGCGUGUAGGCUGCUUCGCAAGUCGGAUGUGAAAGCCCUGGGCUCAACCCAGGAAGUGCAUUCGAAACUGCAGAGCUGGAGUCCUGGAGAGGAAGGCGGAAUUCUCGGUGUAGAGGUGAAAUUCGUAGAUAUCGAGAGGAACACCGGUGGCGAAGGCGGCCUUCUGGACAGUGACUGACGCUGAGACGCGGAAAGCGUGGGGAGCGAACAGG
rnacentral:rRNA from 1 species